UUAUCAAAAUACAUUCAUCCCAGUUCUCAAAUCGCUGGUUUGGGUGCCUACAUCUCUCCCCACACUAAUUUCUGCAGGUCAGACGGUGACCCUGAUCGGAACAAAACCGGGAGGCAGAUACUCACUCCGGAGCACCCCCACCCCCCCGGGUGUCACAAGCCAUAUCGCUGCAAAUGCCUCACACACCUUGGAGCGCAGCUUGUGGAACUGAUGAGAGACUAUCAUCUAUCUAUCUAUCGGAGAGACUCUGAACCAGAAUCUUGUCAAGCCUUGGUGCUGCUCCCAACAAACUGAGAAUAACUGGACAUCAGCACAACUAGGUAGGUAGCCUCUCAUAGAGCCUGUAGUUCCACAGCUACAGGUGGUACCAUCUGCUUAAUUUCCACUGUUUUCAAGACAGCUGUUCUGGCAAUAUGUUUUGCUCUGCGGAAAUGAGGUGAAAGAAACAAAGAAAAGCAAAAGAUGGGGGCUCUUUCCGUGGGUUUAUUUUCCUCCAGUUUCUUUAGAAAACAAAUCGAAUGUGACUGGUCCACAGAAGGCGUUCUACAAGCAGAAAGCCUGUGGGGUUAGAGGAUGUGAAUACUUUAAAGACCUUCUAUGAAGAUUGUUUAAGGAUUGCAUGGAUGGGUGGGUGAAUAAAUGAAAUAAAGAUGGCA
rnacentral:lncRNA from 1 species